rnacentral:lncRNA from 1 species
UUAAGUCUCAAGGAAAAGAAAAGCAAUUGCAAAAUGGGAAUGGAAACCUUGGUCCGUCUGGUGUUUGUUUGAGCACUGUCAGGCAGAAGUCUGUGCAAAAAGAGCAGAGGGUCCAUCUUGAAGAUCACUAAGAAAAGCCUGGAGUUUGUUGCCAAAGGUGAUGACAAUGAUUCACAAAAAAGUGUCAAUUUCUGUGGAGAUUACCGCUAUGGAAACUAAAGAGGCUGGAACUGGAAGGGAAGUUGAAAAGCACCCAUGCAUCUGUGGACGAGGGGAUCACAGCCUGUGGCAGAGCACCUCAGCUUCCCUCGCUCUUGGAUGUGUUCAUCACACUGAACCCACAGCCCCAUGUGGGAUGCAGAGUAAUGCCCAUUGCAUAUGUACCAACGAAGUUAUAGACGUCAAGAGAGGCAAGACAGUCCCGGCUGGAAUGAUGUAUCUGCCCUAAGGGUGGAAGAUGGAUUUAAUGAACAAUAAAUGUCCAUCCCAAGCAGCA